UACGUAGGGUGCGAGCGUUGUCCGGAAUUACUGGGCGUAAAGAGCUCGUAGGUGGUUUGUCGCGUUGUCCGUGAAAACUCACAACUCAAUUGUGGGCGUGCGGGCGAUACGGGCAGACUGGAGUACUGCAGGGGAGACUGGAAUUCCUGGUGUAGCGGUGGAAUGCGCAGAUAUCAGGAGGAACACCGGUGGCGAAGGCGGUUCUCUGGGACGGUACUGACGCUGAAGCGCGAAAGCUAGGGGAGCAAACGGG
rnacentral:rRNA from 1 species